GAAAUGCGAUAAGUAGUGUGAAUUGCAGAAUUUAGCGAAUCAUCGAAUCUUUGAACGCACAUUGCGCCCCUUGGUAUUCCAUGGGGCAUGCCUGUUCGAGCGUCAUUUCAACCCUCAAGCACUGCUUGGUGUUGGGCGUUUGUCCCGCCUACGCGCGUGGACUCGCCUCAAAGUCAUUGGCGGCUGUUCCCCUUCGGCUCGUAAGCGCAGCACAUGUCGCGCAAACGAGUGCCUUGGUACGGCGGCGUCCAUAAGCCCCUCUCUCACGCUCUUGACCUCGGAUCAGGUAGGGAUACCCGCUGAACUUAAGC
rnacentral:misc_RNA from 1 species